UUUCCGUAGGUGAACCUGCGGAAGGAUCAUUACUGAGGUAUGCUCGGUGUCGCGUCAGCGCACUGGUUACCCGCCCUUAUGUCAUCUGCGCUGGAUCCCCGCCGCUCUCGGGUCGGCGGGGGACCAGGAAACGUCACUUCGGUCGAGGUGUUGCGUCUCAUCUGCGAUCUCGCAGGGGAGAUGCGACCGCGGCCGGUCGUAUUUUACGCUCUGAGAACAUGAAGUCUGAACCAAAAAUCAAAUGAAGCAAAACUUUCAACAACGGAUCUCUUGGCUCUGGCAUCGAUGAAGAACGCAGC
rnacentral:misc_RNA from 1 species